AAAAUCCGUCGACUUAAAAACUUGGUUCAAGUCCCCUCUAUCCCCA
rnacentral:tRNA from 1 species